AUGAGCUACAUGCGUGGAGGUGUCUCCGUCCGGUGGCGUGGUGGCGGCUGGCUGCUGGCUGCAUGGCGGUGCGUGGCUGGGAGAUGUAGGUUGCUGCCUGUGGCGGUGCUUGGUGGGGCCCUCAUGGCGCCCAGUGCAUCCUGUGGCUGCUGGUGCUGCCAUGAGGCGCGGGCGGUGGUGCGGUGUGCCCUGAAUAAUCUGUUCACAGGGUGUGUGAAUGCUCAACUCGGCGAAAGCCAUGCUCUGUUCAGAGCCGACGACGGUGAUGCCCGUGGGCGCCACUACCCUUCCUGGAGGCGUCGUCAAAAUGUUGAUUUCACCACCCUUUGCUCGACUUCGGAGGAAACUCUGCUUCCAGGACUACCUGGAACCGAUGAUGGAGGCGCAACCGUGCGUCGCACCCCUUCUUGA
rnacentral:rRNA from 1 species